UAUUAUUGGUCUCAGUAGGAUAAUUGAACCUGUUCCUCUGAAUUGCAAUUGCUUACUCUUCUCUCUGCCUAAAGGGCUUAGGAAGUAAGGACACCCAUCUGCCCUGAGUAGUGAAAGAUUAAUGAGUGCCAGAAGCAUCCAUCCAUCAGCAGCAGUGGGUUCUACUACAUGACAGUACUAUGAUGUGAUUGAUGCAAGUGCAGUUGCAUCCUCCUGAGGCUUCUCAGCAUGACUCAUCAUAAAGUCAGAGGGAUUUGGAAAGAUCCUGGCUUUCCAGGGAAGAAAAAUCCUCCAUUUGGAGAAAGAUGAUCUGCCUUAUUUAAAUGGGAAGCAAAUACAGCACCAGCAGCUGGAGUAAAGCAAGAAUCACAAUCAAUGUUGAUACCCCAUGACACCUAAAACAGCAUCAGCAACAAAAGGAAACAAGCUGGAGAGGAGCUGGUUGACCUGAAUGUGACUUAAUUUAAUUGCUGAUUUAAUCUGGCCAAAAUGGUAGUGAUUUCACUGUUUCCGUCCUGGCAUGUUGUGUUGGAAGAUGUGUUGUGUUCAGCGCAAUCUAUACGAGGGCUGAAGGACUGAUCGAUCAAAGUGAUCAUGGUGAUGUUAUGCUGGAGCCUAGAGCAUUUCCCUCUUUGUUUGAAUGAGAAAUGUCUUUAAAAUCCACUACUGUGAAAGCAAGAACAAACUUCUCAUCCUUCACAAGCUCAUUAGCAGUCAACAGUGCACUUGGCAAUAUAAUAUAAAGAAUAUACCGUAGUUAGAUGUAAAGUACCAAACUUAGUCUUUUAACCCAACAAAUGAACCUGUUAGCAUAAUCAUUUAUAAACACUGGUAGCACUUUCCUCCUCAUGGUAUGGAUCAACAGGGCAAAGGGUCAUGUCAACUUACUCUUCCAAUGGAAUAAGAAUCCUAAGAGGCUGAUACCUCUUUCCCCAUUGGGCCCCCAUUUAUGAAAGCACCAAUUGAAGUCAAUGGUACUUGAUCAUAUGCUUAGCAUGUGAUAACUGCUUUCCUGAAUCAUGGCCUUUGGCAGCAGGAACCUGUACGCCCAGGCCCCCAGUCUGACUCCUUUUCUGUUGCCAGAGACUAACUUUCUUUUACCAUCUUGAACACCGUGAGCUGCCUUUUCAGUGUCACUGGGAAUUACAGUGUUUGACAUAAACAAUGAUGUAACCUAUUGCUUAAAUCAGCUUCUGUACCAGAUAACUGGAGGAUAGCUAAUGUAACACCAAUUUUUAAAAAGAGGCUCAGAGGCGAUCCUUGCAGUUACAGGCCAGUAAGUCUGACUUCAGUAGCAGGCAAAGUGGUUGCACCUAUAGUAAAGAACAGAAUUAUCAGACUCGUAGAUGAACAUGAUAUUUUGGGGAAGAGUCAACACAACUUUUGUAAAGGGAAAUCAUGCCUCACCAACCUAUCAGAAUUCUUUGAGGGUACCAUCAAGCAUGUGGACAGGAGUGAUCCAGUCAAUAUAGUGUGCUUAGAUUUCCAGAAAGCCUUUAAUAAGGUCUCACAUCAAAGGCUCUUGAGCAAGGUAAGUGCACAUCAAAGGCUCUUGAGCAAGGUAAGUGGUUAUUGGAUAAGAGGGAAGGUCCUCUCAUGGAUCAGUAUCUGGUUAAAAGACAGGAAACGAGUAGGAAACAAUGGUCAGUUUUCAGACUGGAGCGAAGUAAAUAGCUAUGUCUGUCAGGGAUCUGUACUAGGAUCUGUAUUGUUCAACAUAUUCAUAAAUGAGCUGGAAAAGGGGGUGAACAGUGAGGUGGAAAAGGUUGCAGACAAUACUAAAUUACUCAAGACAGUUAAAGUCCAAAGCUGACUGUGAAGAAUUACAAAGGGAUCUCACAAAACUGGGUUGCUGGGGCAACAAACUAGCAGAGGAAAUUCAGUGUUGAUAAUUGAAAAUAAUGCACAUUUGGAAAAAAAUAAUCCCAACUAAACAUACAAAACGAUGGGGUCUAAAUUAGCUGUUACCAUUCCAGAAAAAGAUCUUGGAGUCAUUGUGGAUGGUUCUCUGAAAAAUCCGCUUAGUGUGCAGCGGCAUAAAAAAAGCAAACAGAAUGUUGGGAAUCAUUAGGAAAGGGACAGAUGAUAAGACAAAGUAUCAUAAUGCCACUAAAUACAACCAUGGUACACCCACACCUUGAAUACUGUGUGUAGUUCUGGUUGUCCCACCUCAAGAAAUAUAUUAGAGUUGGAAAAGAUACAGAGAAGGGAAACGGAAUUGAUUAGGAGUCUGGAACAAUUUCCAUAUGAGGAGAGAUUAAAAAGACUGGGACUGUUCAAUUUACAAAAGAGAAAACUAAAGGGGGAUAUGAUAGAGGUCUAUAAAAUCAUGAAUGGUGUAAAGAAAGUGAAUAGGGAA